UACGGAGGGUGCGAGCGUUGUCCGGAAUCACUGGGCGUAAAGGGCGCGUAGGUGGCGCGAGGAGUCUGUGGUGAAAGCCCGAGGCUCAACUUCGGGUCGGCCGCGGAUACUCUCGUGCUGGAGGGUGGUAGAGGCCAAUGGAAGUUCCGGGUGGUAGCGGUGGAAUGCGUAGAGAUCCGGAAGAACACCGGUGGCGAAGGCGGUUGGCUGGGCCACACCUGACACUGAGGCGCGACAGCGUGGGGGAGCAAACAGGG
rnacentral:rRNA from 1 species